GGUAAAACAAGGAAAUAGUUAUUUUCCACCAUAAAUUUUUCCCAUAGGGGAUUUUAGAAACACUUAAAAUAAGGGCUGUGCUUGAAGGUGUAGGCUUAUCCUGGCGUGAUGUUUUGAUAACCGUGUAAAUCUCUCUAGGACAAGGUGACAUAUAUAUAUAUUCGCCUGCAUUUAACCCCCCCCCCCCAAAAUGAAAUGCUAAUUAGCUGCUAAUAUGGCUAUCAUAAACAACUACAAAUGCCAUGAUGAUCUGGAUGAGACUGCCGAAUCGAGUCAAAAGCAAGCUGCUGCUGCAUGUCCUCCUCCAGCUCUGUCAACUGACUGGUGUUCAGCUCCUCUGUUCUGUCGGCACACAGAGACUGCUGUACAAUCACUAAGCCACUGAUUGGCUCAGCCGGCCUGAAAUGGGCGUGACUGCGCGUGCAGACCGAUGACAGCACUGGGGCCAAGACAUCAGACAGUGAGAAUGUGCGUCACCUGUACUUGGCUUUUUAUUUUAUUUUUACUGUUGUUAAAAAUGUCAGUGUUUGUACACGUUGUCAUGCAACACACAUACUUUACUUAUUUUAUUUUAUUGAGUGGAUGUACGUAUCACAAAUAAAUCACAAAUAAAGUUUAAACAAAAUACACAAUUUACAUGUAUAAAACACUCAUAUAAAAUAUUUAAAUUAAAUGUAUCUCAACAAUAUUUUCAAAUAGUAUAUGAUGUAUUUGCACAGGGGUGGAGAAUAAUUGUAUAUUCAUUGCUAGGAUGUGGCAAGGAUUCUACCUAUGACACCGAAGUAGACUAUUUUCCUUUCAGGUGUGGACUGCACUCUUUAUCAAGAAUAGUUGCCUGCCCGCCAUUGUUAUACUCUACCAUACUCAGUAAUUAACUCCACCCUACCAUGUGAUAUCCCUAGCCAUACUUAUUUUUACUACUAUGACAGAAACACCUCUACUAAAAAAC